rnacentral:rRNA from 1 species
GUGCCACCAGCCGCGGUAACACGGGGGGGACGAGCGUCGUUCGGAUUCACUGGGCGUAAAGGGCGCGUAGGCGGACCGGAAAGUCGGUUGUGAAAACCCACAGCUUAACUGUGGGCCUGCGUCCGAAACUCUCGGUCUUGAGUAUGGGAGAGGAAAGCGGAAUUCCAGGUGUAGCGGUGGAAUGCGUAGAUAUCUGGAAGAACACCGGUAGCGAAGGCGGCUUUCUGGCCCAAUACUGACGCUGAGGCGCGAAGGUCGGGGGAGCAAACAGGAUUAGAUACCCUGGUAGUCCCGACAGUAAACGAUGGAUACUAGAUGUCGGAGGUAUCGACCCCUUCGGCGUCGCAGCAAACGCGUUAAGUAUCCCGCCUGGGGAGUACGGUCGCAAGACUGAAACUCAAAGGAAUUGACGGGGGCCCGCACAAGCGGUGGAUUAUGUGGUUUAAUUCGAAGCAACGCGAAGAACCUUACCUGGGUUUGACAUGAGCGGGCAGCCCCCGAGAUGGGGGCCCCCUCUUCCGGAGGUCCGCUUACAGGUGCUGCAUGGCUGUCGUCAGCUCGUGCCGUGAGGUGUUGGGUUAAGUCCCGCAACGAGCGCAACCCUCGCCCAUAUUUGCCAUCAGGUAACGCUGGGAACUAUAUGGGGACUGCCGGUGACAAGCUGGAGGAAGGUGGGGAUGACGUCAAGUCAUCAUGGCCCUUACGCCCAGGGCUACACACGUAAUACAAUGGCGGGUACAGAGGGUCGCAAUACCGCGAGGUGGAGCUAAUCCCUAAAACCCGCCUCAGUUCAGAUUGGAGUCUGCAACUCGACUCCAUGAAGGCGGAAUCGCUAGUAAUCGCAGAUCAGCACGCUGCGGUGAAUACGUUCCCGGGCCUUGUACACACCGCCCGUCAAGCCACGGAAGUUGGAAGCGCCCAAAGCCGUUUGCCUAACCGCAAGGAGGGCGACGUCUAAGGCGAAGCUGAUGACUGGGGCUAAGUCGUAACAAGGUAACC